CACUUCGUCGUCGAUGACGGCUGGUGGAGCGUCUUCCGGGCGGACAUCUCGCCGGAGACCCUCGAGCCCUGCGGCACCGAGACGCGCGUGACGCCGCCGGGCGUGCACUGCUUCACCCCUGCCGCCACGGGCCGUUGGAUCGCCGCGGCGACGCGGCGGAAGGGGCGGGUGGAGCGCCACAUCGAGCUGUUCGACCUUGAGUUGGAGCAAUUCACCUCCGUUACCUCUCUCCUCAACCCGGAGCUGCACCACUACAACCCCUUCUUCUCGCCGUCCGGUGCGCGCCUCGGGUACCACCGCUUCCGCGGCGCGGGCGCGCAGGGCGACUCGCUGCCGGUGCGCAGCCCGGUGAGCUCCAUCCGCAUGCUCUGCGUGCACGGCUGCUUCCCGUCCUUCUCGCCGGACACGAAGUACUUGGCCCUCAACGGCGACUUCUUCAAGUCCCCCGGCGUGACGAUCCUCCAUGCCGACGGCUCCAAGCGAUGGGUGCUCACCAAGCAGCCCAACCUGUUCGACACCUCAUGGAGCCCCACCGAGAGCGGGGUCGUGUUCACCUCCGCUGGCCCCAUCUUCGAGACGCCGAAAGCGACGGUCCGGGUGGCGCGCAUCGAGUUCGACCUGAGCGAGCUCGCCGAUGACCGCGGCGACGUCGACGUGGCCGUGAAGGAGCUGACCCGGCAGGAGGCCGGCAACGACGCGUUCCCGGCGGUGUCGCCGUGCGGGCGGUGGGUGGUGUUCUGGUCGGGCCGGUCGGGCCACAAGAACCUCUACAUCGUGGACGCGGCGCGCGGGGAGGAGACGAUACGGAGGGUCACGGACGGCGAGUGGAUCGACACGAUGCCGAGCUGGUCGCCGGACGGGGAGCUGAUCGCGUUCUCCUCCAACCGGCACGAGCCGGCCAACGCCGCCGUGUUCAGCAUCUACCCGGUGUGGACGGACGGGACGGGGCUGCGGCGGGUGCACGUGGCCGGGCCGGCGGGGAGCACGGAGGCGGACAGGGAGCGGAUCAACCACGUGUGCUUCAGCCCGGACGGCGAGUGGCUGCUCUUCACGGCCAACCUCGGCGGCGUGGUGGCCGAGCCCAUCUCAGGGCCGAACCAGUUCCAGCCGUACGGCGACCUGUAUGUGUGCCGGCGCGACCGCUCCGGUGUGCGCAGGCUCACCUGCAACGCCUACGAGAAUGGCACGCCGACGUGGGGCCCGGCGCUGGGCGUGGAGUCGUCGUCGCUGGGCGCCCCCGCCCCGGACGAUUCGUUGGGCGACUUCGACGAGCCGCUGUGGCUCACCUCCGGCGUGUGA
rnacentral:rRNA from 1 species